rnacentral:lncRNA from 1 species
UUUACUCCCGGGGAUGUCUCUAGCAGGAGCCCCGAAACCUCGCUCCCGCCAGCCUGCCCCGCCCCCUGCGCCGCGUCGAGGAGCGCUCACCCCGGCUUCACUCCUGCUCUCGGGGUUCACCUGCCUCCUCUGGAGUCCUCUUCGUCCCGCGACUCCUCUCAAUUUUGCGACCUCCUCUCCUCAAGGUGCCUCUUUGCAGCUCUAGACUUUGCUCCACGCGCGUCCGCAGAAGCCAUUUCAAAAUGAAAGAAGACUGUUUUCACCUGGACCCAACAAAUGUUCAGGAAGCCUGUUCCAGCUGCUGGAGACGAAGAAGGAAAGUGAAGGUGCUGCUGAGUCCCCUGCCCUCAUGGGACUUAGCAUCUUACUGGGUUUCUUUGUUUUGUUUGUUUUGCUUAGCAUCCAUCUUACUGGGUUUCUUUGUUUUGUUUGGUUUGUCUUUUUGCCUUUUCUAGGGCCGCUGCUCCCGUGACACAUGGAGGUUCCCAGGCAAGGGGUCUCAUCGGAGCUGUAGCAGAGCCACAGCAACGUGGGAUCCGAGCCAAGUCUGAGACCUACACCACAGCUCAUGGCAAUGCUAGAUCUGAGCGAGGGCAGGGAUCGAACCUACAACCUCAUGGUUCCUAGUCGGAUUUGUUAACCACUGAGCCACGAGGGGAACUCCAGCAUCUUACUGGUUAACACGAGGCUUUCCAAAGCGUUGUCGCCGGUUUGGGGAGGAACUUAUUAAAUCAUUUCUUUUGGUUUAUAAUUAAAAGUAGCUGGUAGUCGAACACUGUACUGUGUGACUUUACGAUGGAAUCUUCUUCCAGGAGGGUGUCUUGUGUAUAAAUUCUAGUAUGCAGAUAAUAGCUGGUAGGUAUAAAAUAAAUAUUAGUUUGUUGCUUCCAGCAAGAAAUUCAAGUUUAAUACUAUCAACAGUAAUUUCCAAAAUGACCUUUUUGAUUUGUUGUUGACUGCCAUAAACCCAGAACUAAAACUGUUUUGUUUUUCAGGUGAGACUGAUCCUUUUGUAGAAAUAUAAUUCAUGUUGUCGUUGAAGAUCGAAAUAUAAAACCCUUUGCUAAUGGAAUUUUUAAAUUAGGAACCAUGGUCCUAGAAAUUUACAAGUACAGAGUGUUCUGUACUCUAAUCAGUUAAGAAAGAGAGAUUUGUGUCAAAAAGAAAAAGGGAAGCAAGAGAGACCAUUUAAAGCGGAUCUAAUUAUUAUCAUCACAUUUUAACAUGUCCUAAGAUAGUGAUUGGCUUUAUUCAAGGAACACUCCAUUUUGCAACUCACUACAUUUACUUUUUCCAGGUUGGGUUUUUUUAUUCCAUUUUUGUAUGUUUUCUAUAUACAUGUUGUUUUAUAAGCAUGUAUGUUAUCUUUUUCAAUUAGAAUUCAUUUACAUUGCUUUAUUAUUUAAUCAAUAGCAAGAUUGGCCAUUGACACAGAUUUGAUUUUAAAACUCAAUUAUUUUCCAGCAUAUACUUAGGACUAUAUGUAAGAGUUAAACACAAAGCAAAUUCCUUUACCCACGUGAGUGUAAUUGAAGAGAAGUUUUCUCAACAGCAUCCUAUGCUUGCUUAACGUUCAGAUAGGCCAACAUUGCAGCUAAAAUUAUUUCCUUGGUCACCAUUUAUCUUCAGUAGUUAUUAUCAUAGUUUAUUUUCAUCUAAGUGCCAUUGUUGAUCAUUCUGCCCGUACUACCCUAUAUUUUCUCUGAUACAACAAUAUUUCCCUGAGUGGACUGUCCAACAUUAGACUUCCUUUAAUGGGUUUAGAUAUAAAUAAUUGUAUAAAGUUCUGCUUAAAUGCAAUUGUUAGUUCAGAAAUAUGCUAUGUAAAUAAUAUUGAAGAAUUAAAACUAAAUUUUAAAAAAAUUAUACCAAAAGUUUCAAAAAUACGAUAAUAUGCACAUUAUACUAUUUUGAAUUAAUGACAAAAUCUGUACGAAAUAUUUUUAUUUUUACAUUUGUACUUUUUUUAGUAGAACAAAGCAAUUACAGUGUAAAAACACGUUUCCAGAUGUAUUUCCUUGAAUUUUUAAAACUCCAGCUUCUGCGCAGUAUUUCUGAUGAUACUUAGAGUCUAUGUAAACUGAACGGGUUAAGGCCCCUUCCAUUAAUAUGCAAACUUUACUUCCUAGUACAGCCAGUAUGUAGUAAACCAAUAGGAUUUGGAGAAGAGCAUGAAAACUGCAGAAGGAAAGCUAUUGAUCCCUUUCAUCUUAUUUUCAUAGGUACUAAUGGCAUACCCAUGCCGUCUCCAAGGUGAGAGACAGAGAAAAUGCAAAAGAGAAAAUUCAGAGGUGGAAGAUUAAUCUUAGACAUGGCACAGGAUUUUCUACGGAGUCCUACUAAAAGACAGGUAAGUAGCUCUUGGUGCCACGAUUGUUAUAAACUCUUAUAGUUGCUACUGUGUGAAUGGAUGUAACAUUUUAUUGUGCAUAAGCUAUCUUCUUUACAAAAUAAAACAAACAAAUCAACAGCUAUUACCAUUGUAAAAUUUUAACAUAGUCCAGACUGGGUGUAUGGAUUAGGGAGAAAUAUUGUUUCCCAGUUCAUCAUGUGGUCACUUGCCUGGAGGAUGAACCAUGUCAGAAGAGAAAAGGCAGGUAGUUUCUAAUCACAAUACAUGGGCACAGACCUGUCUUUUUAUGCAUAGAAUCAUGUGCUGUCGAUAAAACCCCUGUGGUGUUGUUUUAUUCAUGAAUACAGGUCAACUUAGGCAAUUUUGAAGGAAAGAAUAAGAAUCCAAGGAAGCCACCUCAAUUCAUUUCCCUCCAAAUUCUCUUCUUAUCUUUGCUAAAUAGUGUUGUUUUUAUUUUCCAUGGAGGAAAUCAGGAAAUGGCAUAUUGUGCUCUGGCAAAUUAAUUUCCAUGUGUCAACGUAGUUUUCACAGUGGGCAUUUUUACACUCUGCUUUAUAAAAUUAGUUUCAUUUCAUAUUUUCAUGCAUCAGCCACACAGUUGAUGUUUUUAGAGCCCUGUAGUGAUCUUCUGUUGUAAUAGGACUGAUUUUGGUUGGCCAUCUCCUAUUCCCAGCCAUUUUGGUUUUCCCAGUUAUUAUUUUUUUUUUGUGGUCAUAAGUAGCAUCAAUCUAAAUAUUUGUAAGUAAAUAACUUUUUAAUCUGUAUAUUUCCUUGGAAGAUGUUGCAUAAUGUAGGAUUCUUUGUGUCAAAUCAUGUCUAAUAGUUUCACAGUUCAUAAUGUCUUUUUAUUUUCCCAAACUAAAACAAUUGAAAAUGUGACCAGGAGUUCCCAUUGUGGCUCCACGAUAACAAGCCCAACUAGUGUCCAUGAGGAUGCAGGUUCGAUCCCAGGCCUCACUCAGUGGGUUAAGGAUCCAGCAUUGCUGUGAGCUGCAAUGUCAGUCACAGAUGCAGCUCGGAUCUGGCAUUGCUGUGGCUAUGGCUGUGGCAUAGGCCCACAGCUACAGAUCCAAUUUGACCCGUAGCCUGGGAA